UUAAGGAAUAAACUCUUAUAGUAAAGUGUUACUAAAUUUUCUUUUACCAUUUCCUUCACAAUGUCUACUUAUUUCUAUGGCUAACAGAUUUUGUAACAUUUGUAUUUUUUACAGUCUUACCAUUGCUUGUAAGCUGGAUUGGGUAAGAUGGAUCAUCUUUAAAGGCACCAGGAGUUAAGGCAGAUGUGGAGGCACAACGGGUGACACCAGACACACACCAAGCACAUUAUGUUCGGACAUUCAAUCAUGACAGGAUCCAGGUGGAUGCUGUCCAUUGAGGAAAGAGUUUGUUCAGCGGUAAGUGAAUCUUCUGUAUUUUUAUGUAAUUAGGUGUGGAACAGUAGAAUAAGAGCAAAAGGUUUCAGAAUAGGAGUAAAUUCAAGGCUGAGUUUAGUUUUUUAAGAAUCUUUUUCUAUCUUAUAUUUGUUGACUUAAUGUUUAUGAUAUUUCUAACAGGUUUCUGGA